CCGGCGCGACCCCGGAAGCGCCUCGUUCAGGGCGGCGGCGGCGGUGGCGGCGCGGCUGUCGCUGUGAUGGCUUUAGGGUUGGGUGGCUGACCGCUGGCGAGGAAGGGUCCCAGCGCCCAGAGUCUCGGCGGCUGCGCCAUGGCCGCCUCCGCCGCCUCCUCCGAGCAUUUUGAGAAGCUGCACGAGAUCUUUCGCGGCCUCCAUGAAGACCUACGGGGGGUGCCCGAGCGGCUGCUGGGGACCGCCGGGACCGAGGAGAAGAAGAAGUUGAUCAGAGAUUUUGAUGAAAAGCAGCAGGAAGCAAAUGAAACGCUGGCAGAGAUGGAGGAGGAGCUACGGUAUGCACCCCUAUCUUUCCGUAACCCCAUGAUGUCUAAGCUGCGGAACUACCGGAAGGAUCUUGCCAAACUACAUCGGGAAGUGAGAAACAUGCCUCUGACAGCUGUACCUGGGGGCCGAGGGGACAUGAAGUAUGGCACAUAUGCUCUGGAGAAUGAGCAGAUGAAUCGGCUACAGUCUCAGAGGGCACUGCUUCUGCGAGGCACUGAAAGCCUCAACCGGGCCACCCAGAGUAUUGAGAGGUCUCAUCGGAUUGCCACAGAGACUGACCAGAUUGGCUCAGAAAUCAUAGAAGAGCUGGGGGAGCAGCGAGACCAGCUGGAACACACCAAGAGCAGACUGGUAAACACAAGUGAAAACUUGAGCAAAAGUCGAAAGAUUCUCCGUUCAAUGUCCAGAAAAGUGACAACCAACAAGCUGCUGCUUUCCAUCGUCAUCUUACUGGAGCUCAUCAUCCUGGGAGGCCUGGUUUAUUACAAGUUCUUUCGCAAGCAUUGAACUUACAGGACGGGCUUUGUGGAUCAGAGCCAUGACCCUGUGAAUGAGUGGUGGUAGGCAGGACAUGGAAUAAGCGUGCUGCUGCUGUGGGCUGACAGUUCAAGGGUGCACUGUGUAGCCAGACUAUGGGAAGAGGGGGUCUGGACAGAAAACCACGUAAAUGUGAAGGAAGAGUGACAAGACCAGUAUGAUAUACCAAGUUUAUCUCCCAUCAUGAACUACAUGCGUCUUCUGACAACUUCAGUAUUUUCCCACCUACACUGAGGGUGAGGCUAUCAGAAAGGAACUAAACUAUCAGAGCAUCCUGCUUGUACCUGUAGGCCCCUGCUCCUCAAGUGGGUGUCCAGCCUCUUGGUUACCCACUUGGCAUCACAUACCAGCAAGGACUUCCAGACUGGGCACAAGCAAGACUAUCACUCAACAUCAUCAUGCACGGACACUGGUUUGUUUCUUGAGACAGGGUCUUGCUAUGUAGUUUCUCUUGGCUAAAGAACUAGCAUGAUCAGCAUGUGUCUUGGUUUGAAAGCCUGAUGAACUCCGCACACAGCAAGGCUUGUGUUUCUGGAUCCAGAAAGCUCAGAGCCAAAGCCUGAAGGGAUUAAGAUCUUGAGAGCCCCCACUUGAAAGGCCUAUUCUCUGUGAUUCCCCACCCUCCCCUGCUCUUUCCAAACUUAAGUGGCAGGUAAGGACUAGGGACAGGCAUGCUAAAGGAGUCAGAGAAAGCAAAGGAUUGGGGCAGUCAAGCGAAGACCCCUACAGGUAAAGUCUGUACCAGCAUUCUCCUGCUGUGUCUCCCCUCUUCUCCUACCGGCCAUGGAAAUUCUCUGUAAAAAUGAUUAAGGAAGUAUAUAAUGGUAGAGUGCCCCAUCGUACUUCUCAGACCUGAACGGUGUAUCCUUGUAUCCUUUACACAGAAACAAUACAUAAUAUUCUUUUUUCCUUUCUUUCUUUUUCGGUACCAGAGUUCAAACUCGUGACCUUGCACUUACCAGCCUGGUGCUUAUGCCACUGAGGUAAAUCUCUGGGCCACAUAAUAUUUUAAAUAAGAUCAUUAGGGAGCUGGGGAUACAGCUCCAUGGUAGAGCACUUGCCUAGUAUGUGUGAGCUCCUGGGCUUAAUCCCUAGUACUAGAAAAAAAAAUUACUAGGUAAAAUAAGCUACAUUGAUGUCAUAAAUCUCCCCAAAUAGUGGCCUAAAUAGUGUGUCUCUUGCUCAUUUAACACUAAAGUACAUACUCCAGUGAGCAGGACCUGGUAGUGGCUGUGCCAUAUGUAGGACUUUACCAUCUGUGUGGCUAAAGCUGGGUCUUCCCCAUGUUUAAGGCAGCAGGAGGGGAAAAGCACAGAGAAGGCACCACCUCUGUAAAGGCCUGUUUUAGAAUUGGCACGUUGCUCUUGCCCAGGUGACUGGCACCAAAUAUAGAUCUAACUUACAUCCAGAGUGAGCAUGGAUUGUGGUAGACGACUAAUCUGCCACAGUGAAUCACUUUUUUAAAAAAUUCUGCCAUAAUCUUUAAGUGAUUAAGAGCUCAGAAUACUAAAGCUUAUUUUGCUCUACGAUUACCAAUUUAAUUGUUCCAUUCUAGUUCUUUAUGGAGUUGAGACAGAAAUACCCAUCCUGAGGUACCCUUUUGAAAGCUUUCUCCUCUGAAGCCCACUGUACCAAGAACAUCAAGGUUCCCAGAGGACCAGGAGACUAGAACUCAGCAUUGGUUUCUAAAGGGUGAACAAGGGCCAGAAAUCAGAAAUAUACAUGUCAUUGACAACAACUGACCAGUAUAAUAACAGUAAGAAGCCCGCAUACUGCAGGAUACUGCAGCAAUGUGAUGUGAGGUGGCAGAAAACAUUAAUUGUUACCCAAAGGAAUGGAGAUUGAUAGGAACUUAAAUUUUUUUUUUUUUUUUUUUGGUCUUUUUUAGACAGGGUCUCUCUGUGCAGUUCAGGCUGGCCUUGAGCUCAUUUUGUAGCUGAGGCUGGUCUCGAACUUGCAACGAUCCUCCUGCCUCAGCCUCCUAAGUGCUGCGAUUACAAACUUGAGCCACCACGCCCGGCUGGAACUUAAAUUUUUUGUGAGACUAGGAUGAACUGAAUAAUACUAAAGCUGUUUAUCACAGUGCUAUGGCAAAUUCUGGUAGUUCAGUGGGCAUAAGGAACGUUCUUUCUAAUUUUUAAAGAAUCUUGCAGUAAUAGUGAUACUAUUAAUAGAGCAGUAAUUAUUAGCAAUACAGCAGAACCAGACAUGGUGAUCUGUACCUGUAAUCCCAGCUCUUGGGAGGCUGAAACAGAAAAAGCCCAAGUUUAUACCAUCCGAGGCUGCACAGCAAUUCAAUACCAAUCUUUAUGAUAUAGGAAACCCCUAAAGAGAGAGGGCAAGACAGACAGCCAGACAUUCUAAUACUGAGGGAUUAUGUGCUUUCCAUGCUUAAAGGAACUGCCCCUUUCUCUAGUGCUGUGCGUCAGGCAACUCAUCCGCAAGUGUAGUCUGGUAAGACUUCAUGUUUCAUGGCUACUCUUUUUUUUUUCCUAAGAAGGCACUGUAGGACAGGACGAGCCCAAAACUUCAAGGAAGCUAUAGGUGUAUGUAUCUUUGGCUAAUUGAGAACAUUUUUUUUUUUUUUAUCAGUACUGGGGAUCGAACUCACAACCGCCUGCUUGGAAGGCAGGUGCUUAUGCUACUGAGCUAAAUCCCCAGCCCCAUGUCUUUGGCUAAUUGCUUCUGUUUACCUCCUUGCCAAAGGAGAACAGAUGGCAUCAGGCUUAAUAACAUGUCCCCCUGAGCAAGCUCCAUCUACCCUCUGAUCACCCUUGGGUCCCCAGGAAUAGAGGGAUCAAGCUUUCUCUGACAGGUUCAGCUGGUCGCACUUUAGCAGCCUGGUUCCAUCAACGGCAGAGUGGAAGUACAAGUUGCUUUGACUUUGUAAGUCACAUAACCACUUUCCAUCAUUCAGAGAUUGCUGGGCUUCUCGGAACACAAAAGACCUGCUAUUGUUAACAUAUUGACAACAGUUCAGUUUCUCCAAUAUCUAACCCGAGAAGGAACAGCAAAAAUCCUUGGAGAUAAAAAGUACACCCUUUACAGCAUGUGAUUCUUAAAAAUUUUUAUGCUUGAUCUUGUUGCAGAAAGGACUAAAAGGGAGAGAAAUCAGGCAGCUGACCACAGCUUUGCGGGUCAGCAACCCUAAUGUGUAGCUCCAGGUCCCAGAGCUGGGGCUGGCAUCCUAGUGAGUCUGCCCAGGAACCUCAAACCAGACAGACUGCAUUCCAGGCCGCUCUGGGCCGAAAGCAGAAUUUACACCUAAUGGCCUCAGUUAAAGGGCCACACUAGGUGCAGGAGAAAGAAUCCCUCUCCUCUCGCUUUGGAGAAGUCAAGUUUCUAACCAAGUUCAGUUGUUUUUAUAAAAUCAGAUUUGACUGAUAUGUCUUAAGAUUUAAUGAUCACACUGGUUAGAGAAUGUGUACCUGAACGUGAUAUAACCUGUUUUUUUCCUGCUCCCCUGCCCUCCCUUCAACCCCUCCUCCACUUACAAAAGCUUUGUUUCUAUGUUUUCCUUUUCUCUCUGUUUUCCCCUUUCCUUUCUCCUAGUCCUCUCCCUUGCUCCCUUCCCCAUUUGAACAUUUUGUCCUUAUACUUUCAGUUUUCUCACACCAGAGAAAAUGCAGUGCUUACACGUGUGUGUCCAAUUUAUUUCACCUAAGAGUAUGGACUGAAGGCCAAGUUCACUUUUUAAACCUGUCCUGCGGCACACUGUGUUGAAUGACAAAGGUUAGUGAGAUAACAAGGAAAAAACUGUAUUAGGGAUUACAGGUUAUAAAUCCAAGAGGCAUCAUUGUGGUUUCUCUCUCUACUCUUUCCUUUUUCUUUUCCUCAAAACUGAGGUGAUAACCCAAGACUUCCCCAAACCUGCUUCUCACAUGACUGCAUCAUUUGGAUAAAAAGUUUUGUGAACAACACAGGCUCACUAGUCUAUCACUGAAAGGGCUCCUUGAAAGUUGGCUUUCUACAUUCCCUACGAAAGAUUAUAAAGGCAAGGAAAUGAACCAUUGGGACACCAAUUCUCUGAAAGCCCUAAUCACAAUGUCACACCCUGCUGUGACAUCUGUAGGGUCACACUAGGAGUCUGGUGUUUCUUUAGCUAUUCAGAGCUUAUCUUCUCUCACAGUGGGAGAGGAAGCGGCCUGGCGGCAUCUUCUCUUCAAACCCCAGGGCCAUCACAGAUAACUUACACAUCCACAGUAUCGGGAGUUUGGUCAUUAAUAGAGUAAGUUUAUUAAACUAGCCAUUGCAGUCCUUUUGGUGCUGCCUUUGAACUGUGCUACUAUGGAUACUGAAGGAAUAAAGCAUCACCUGGCUAAUCAAAAUUCAGCUUUAUUCAAUGAGAACCAUCAUCAUUACCAACCCAUCCUGAUUUUAAAACAUUUCAGUCACCAGUGGUUGGAGCAAACCUGUAAUCCCAGCAUUCAGGGAUUACAUUCUUUGAGGCACAAAGAAGGAGCACCUUGAGUUCAAGACCAUUCUGAUUGGGCCAGGGAUAUAGCUUAGUGGUAUAAGCACCUGCCUGGCAAGCACAAGGUCCUGAGUUCAUAUUCCCAGUAUCCCCCUACCAAAAAAAAAGCCUGACUAUAUAGUCGAAAAUUCUUAAAAUAUAAGUAGAUAAAAAAUAAAAUUUAAUGAGUCAACCAGGUAUGGUAUCACACACCUCUAGCUCCAGGUAUUCAGGAGGUUGGAAGCUUUAAAGCAGCCAGAGUCUGAUGAGAAGACAGGCAGGGAGAGUAGCAGUUCAAGCCAGGUGUAACUGCUAUGACACAGCUUUGCACAGGAUGUGGGGGAAACACCGACCAGAAGAGAACCCAUGAGCCAGGAGGACAUCCCAACAGAGGCAAUGUCUGCCUCUUGAAAGUGUCAGCCAGGAAUAAAAGGGGAGAAGAACCUGCUUAUGGAAAGAUAUGCAAUACUUUAAGCUCACAGAACAAUUCACACCUUCCGUGCGAGCCUUGGGUGCAUGCCUUGGGUGCAUGCGGAGAACUCAGCUGAGCAGGAGGAGCCGGUAGGGUCCAAAUGCUAAAUGCAGUAGAGAGCCAUGGUCUUCAGUUAGGAAGUGACAAAUCAAAUCUACAUUUUAUACCUACUGUUCGGAUAGCAGUGAGGAUGGGCUGGACCACAGUGUGGGGAGAAACACACAGCACUCCAGCAGAAGAGCCAACAGGCUCUGUUCAGGCUCUGCUCCCCACUCAGAUGAAAAUGGUAUGUUUGCAGUCCCAGCUAUUCAGGAAGUUGAGGCAGGAGGGUCCUAUGAGGCCUUGAGUUUAGUCAGUCUGGGUAACACAAUGAGACUCCAUCUCAGAAAAAUAAAGUAAAUAAAGACAUGAGGGAAGGAAGUAGAAAAGAGGGCAGAGAAGUUGUUCAAUAUGUUUUUGUUUGUUUUAGAUACGUUGCAUUGAGGUUAAAUACAUGCAAACAGGAACAAGUUACUGGGCUGGUUUCAGGCAAUAGUUAGUGCCUAAUAUCAUUUUGAAUGAAGUGCACAAUGUCACAUACAGCAGAAUUGCUUAAAAACAAAAACAAAAACCCUGUAUUUGACCAAGGAUCCAACUAACAAUUCAGAAAAACAAAGGACAACAAGCCAUAAUUUACUUUUUUGUUCUUUCUCAGCUUUUUACAGAUCAAAAUCAUGUUCCAAUUUCUCCAUAUUUUCACCAUUUCUACUUGAUUUAUUUUACUUUUGAUGGGUAGCCAUCUUAAUAGGUUUGAGUGGCUAUAAUUUUUACAAAUUUUAUGAAAUGGGAUAAUAGCAAAUGUUUAGAACAUGAUAAAUGUCAGAUAUCUAACAAUGUUGAAAAAAGUAUAAACAAAUUCUUCUCUGCCUUCAUAAAUGAGAAAGACAAAAAUCAGACAAAUCCCAAUAUUGUGUUCUAUAAAUUCACCCAUAUGCAGGUACACCAUUAGUGAUACAAGUUUUUACUACAGCAUCAGCAAAUUACUGAUAUUAUAUUCACCUUCUAAAAGAAAUCUGCAGUAUUAAGGACUGGAAAGUACAAAGCUGAACCCAAAGAAAUAGAUCAUUUGCUGGGCAUGGUGGUAUGUGCCUGUAAUCCCAGCACUCAGGAGGCUGAGACAGGAAAAUCAACCUGAGUUUGAGACCCUGCCUCAAACCGCCUCCCACACACAAAAGAAGUUAUUAAUGGUAACAUUCCAGGUAGGACUGUGUUAAAGCUUAUAGAUAUAAGAUAGAUGCUUUCCUAGAGUCUCAUGUGCUCAUAGAUUGGGCCUUUGGGAGGUGACUGCAUCGUGGGUGUGGUACUGGGUUAGUCCACUGAUUGGUUUAUCAUAGUUCUGAGUAUAGAUAAUGGUAAGCUCACCUUGGGUGUGGGGUGGCACCAACCAAAAGGGAUAGGAAGGCUUGCUGCCUCCUGCCUGCUUUGCCAUGGGCUGUUUCUCCUCUACCCUGCCAUCCUGCCUUGGUGCUAGCUGACUAUGGAUUUAGCUGAAACCUCUUCAAACUGUGAGCUGAAGUAAACCUUUCCUCUCUUAACUUGGGUAUUUUGUCUCAGCAAUGAGACAAGUAAUGAAGACAGUCAUAUACCCCCUCCAGUCCUUGCAAAAACAAGACUGAGAACCUCAAAAUACAAAUGAAGAGCAAACUAAAAGACAAAGAGUAGGAAACAAGGACCUCUUUUGCAAAAGAGAAAGGGAUCAAGAGAUGAAGCAGGAGCGGCAAGACAGGAAGGAAGUGAAAAGAGAGUUCAGAGGUACUUUGUACUUGUACUGAAUGCAAUCAUGUAUUAUAAACUUGUACUAAUAAAAUUAAAAACAUAUUUGCUAUUGAGCCAA